rnacentral:rRNA from 1 species
GAUGAACGCUAGCGGCAGGCCUAACACAUGCAAGUCGAGGGGUAGAAAUAGCUUGCUAUUUUGAGACCGGCGCACGGGUGCGUAACGCGUAUGCAAUCUACCUUUUACUAAGGGAUAGCCCGGAGAAAUCCGGAUUAAUACCUUAUGGUUUUUAGAAUUGGCAUCAAUUUUAGAAUAAAGAUUUAUUGGUAAAAGAUGAGCAUGCGUCCCAUUAGUUAGUUGGUGUGGUAACGGCAUACCAAGACGAUGAUGGGUAGGGGUCCUGAGAGGGAGAUCCCCCACACUGGUACUGAGACACGGACCAGACUCCUACGGGAGGCAGCAGUGAGGAAUAUUGGUCAAUGGACGCAAGUCUGAACCAGCCAUGCCGCGUGCAGGACGAAGCAUCUAUGGUGUGUAAACUGCUUUUGUACGGGAAGAAACACCUCUACGAGUAGAGGCUUGACGGUACCGUAAGAAUAAGGAUCGGCUAACUCCGUGCCAGCAGCCGCGGUAAUACGGAGGAUUCGAGCGUUAUCCGGAAUCAUUGGGUUUAAAGGGUCCGUAGGCGGCUUUAUAAGUCAGCGGUGAAAGUUUUUGGCUCAACCAAAAAAUUGCCGUUGAUACUGUAGAGCUUGAAUGAUUUUGAAGUAACUAGAAUAUGUAGUGUAGCGGUGAAAUGCAUAGAUAUUACAUGGAAUACCAAUUGCGAAGGCAGGUUACUAAGAAUUAAUUGACGCUGAUGGACGAAAGCGUGGGUAGCGAACAGGAUUAGAUACCCUGGUAGUCCACGCCGUAAACGAUGGAUACUAGCUGUUUGGAUUUAGGUCUGAGUGGUUAAGCGAAAGUGAUAAGUAUCCCACCUGGGGAGUACGUUCGCAAGAAUGAAACUCAAAGGAAUUGACGGGGGCCCGCACAAGCGGUGGAGCAUGUGGUUUAAUUCGAUGAUACGCGAGGAACCUUACCAGGGCUUAAAUGUGUUUUGCCGUAUGCCGAAAGGUGUAUUUCUUCGGACAAAAUACAAGGUGCUGCAUGGUUGUCGUCAGCUCGUGCCGUGAGGUGUCAGGUUAAGUCCUAUAACGAGCGCAACCCCUGUUGUUAGUUGCCAGCACGUAAAGGUGGGAACUCUAGCAAGACUGCCGGUGUAAACCGCGAGGAAGGUGGGGAUGACGUCAAAUCAUCACGGCCCUUACGUCCUGGGCCACACACGUGCUACAAUGGGCGGUACAGAGAGCAGCUACCUAGUGAUAGGAUGCGAAUCUAUAAAACCGUUCUCAGUUCGGAUCGGAGUCUGCAACUCGACUCCGUGAAGCUGGAAUCGCUAGUAAUCGGAUAUCAGCCAUGAUCCGGUGAAUACGUUCCCGGGCCUUGUACACACCGC